rnacentral:lncRNA from 1 species
GGUCUAAUUUGUACUUGGAGGAGGCCUGUGGCUUUGAGGGCCAUCUUUAGCACCAUCAUGUCACCAUCCACUGCUGCUGCCUCCUGAGUUGUCUGCAUGUAGAGUCAUCUCUGCUCACUGAGAACCUCCUGAGUUUAUCUCCCUGUAUUAUGCAAAGUCACCUAAAAAUCCUUUUUGCUGGCACCCCUGGUGACCCCAGUGGUGUUUCUCUGUCCUGCCAUGAGACCAAGAGAUAUGGGUUGAAAGAGACCUCAGGACCUGCUUGGAGCACAGGAUCACUGAGGGCCCUCUUGACUCAAUUUGACUUGACCACCAUCUACACCACCAGUCCCUAGCAGAAGGGGAGUGUUGGAGCCAAACUUGCUUUACCCCUUACAGACCCAGCCCUCCAAUUAUACUGCAGAGAUGCUUCCUGGGCAGGACAGACUGCAGCACCCACAUGGGUUCUCAUCUCAGUACAUCCUCACCUUGAGAUCCGUACAGACCUGGCAGCCAGUGGCUUGCACUGUCCUUCCACCUGCACAUCUGCCUCUCCAGGCAGGUCACCGUCUGCACUGCUUCACAGAGGCAAGAAAAGCAUGUGCUGGAGGUAUGGCACUCCCUGCAGAAAUGAUGGCACCCUGAUGUGCUGUUCAGUGCAUCAGCUGUGAUUUCACAUCACUCUGAAUCUCUAGGGGUGCAGUGGGUACCUUUAGUCCCCUUGACCCUUAGUCUCUCUCCCCAAAUGUGGGCAGUGACCCAGUGGAUGUGGCAGUGGAGAAAUAGCCCCAGCAGACGAGUGUUGGGGUUGUUGGGCAUCCCUUUGAAGCAGGAACAACCUUACAGGACAUCCCUGGUGUACUCUGGAAAGGGUGAUUAGUGUGUGGAGCCCCGCUACAGCAGCCCAUUGUCACUCACCUGCCCUUUUACCACUGAACUGCCUUUAGUCAUGGGCUGUGCUGUGCAGGUAGGGGGGAAAAAAAAAGAGAAAGAAAACCAAGGGAGGGGAAAAAAUAAAUCAAAGAACAGUGUGUUUCGUGUUGUUUGA